rfam:Nitrospirae bacterium RBG_19FT_COMBO_58_9 rbg_19ft_combo_scaffold_13591, whole genome shotgun sequence.
GGAGAGGACCGGGUGAUCGCUUGGGGCGGCAACGCUCUGAGAGGAAAGUCCGGACUUCAUGGGCAGGGCGCUGGGUAACUCCCAGGCGGAGCGAUCCGACACCAGCACCACAGAGAACAAACCGCCGAUGGCCAAGGCGAUGAGAUGCAAGUCUUAUCGCUGCGGAUCAGGUAAGGGUGAAACGGCGNNNNNNNNNNCCACCGCGGUGGUGGCAACAUCACUGGCAGGGUAAGCGUCGCCUGAUGCAAGGCCAAAUAGGAAGACGCCUGUCGGUUUUCUUCGGAAAGCCGGCGACCGGCUGGCCCGGCCGAGGUCUUCGGGUAGGUCGCUUGAGGUUCGAGGUAACUCGAAUCCCAGAGAAAUGAUCAUCCCCGCUUGGGACAAAAUCCCAGACGGGACAGAAUCCGGCUUAUAGGUCUUCUCCACCG